ACCGCUGACUUCCUUGGUAUGGAGAAAUAAAUACUAUGGAAGUCAGUGGGGUCCACCAACUGUUUGGUUACAAACAUUCUUCAAAAUAUCUUCCUUUGUGUUCAGCAGACCAAAGAAAUUAAUACAGGUUUGGAACUCUUUAAGGGUGAGUAAAUGAUGACAGAAUUAAAAUUUUUGGGUGAACUAUCCCUUUAAACAGUGAGCUUGUGCCAUUUCAGUCUGGUAAUUUCAGUUGUAAAUUUGAAUAAUAUAUGUAAAUGUUGAUUUGUGUUGUUUUUAUCCUCUACAGCUGAUCACAUUCAGAACAUUGAUCCUCCCUUCAAUGCUCCUGACACUAACUGUGAGGUGGCCUUUGCUCCAGAGACUGUUGGUGUGUACUUCAUUGUACACCAUUUUCAUUAGAAUGUAAAUGAAUAUUUGUAUUUUAAAAUUUGCUAUUGUUUCUGAAAAACAGAGUGUUUUCUACAAGAUCUCCAGCACUCACUGAGCGAUUCCUCAGGUGAUGAGGCAUCACCUCUUGGAACCCCAAGAGAUCCUCUUCUGGCAUCCUCGAACUGAAGCAUAAGUCAGAGUCUCUUUUCAGAGAGGUGGAGGGCAGAGAGACCCCGUCUGGUAAACACGGCUGCAGCAAAAGAAAGUGUGGCAACACACAUCUGCCAACAGUGUUGGAGCAGUCCAGCAGUUAUCCGGUGCAGUGACUGUCGACCACGCCCCUUCUUCUGUGCUGAAUGUGACAUCAGCAUGCACACCAGACAUGUCCUCCACAAUAGAGAUGCCAUGACUGCUGGAUUCUUCCAGCCAUUGCCUCCAACAACUGUCGUGGUGGAUAAGGCUCUUUCCCAAUGUGGCAUGCCAAGCCACUUGGAGUGCUGCAGUGGCCGACCUAAACAGCAGUGACUACUGGCCGGCAACUCUUCAGUUUGCCAAAAUUUAUACAACCGAUACAUUUUUCUCAUUCGAGGAAAUGAAGAUGGUGGCACCAGGACUGUCCUGCCAAGCAUUUUUAAGAAUGCUGGAUCAGUGAACUGUUCGCUUUGGUCGUGUGAGUAUUCAAUUUAUUAAUCCUGCAGUAUUGUUAAUGUAUUUGAAUUGUGGGCUGAAAACCUGUCUGAUUGCUAAUGUAUUUUUUGUACAUUAUAAGCUUUUGGUUUCUCUAUUUUUAAUAGACUUGCAAGAUCUCUGCAGACAGUUUUCAGAAAAGUUUUUUUGAGUGGGAGGCUGUGCGAUUUGAGGUGGACAGUUUAUGCAAGGAAGAGCCCUUCAUCUGCCCUGCAUGCUCCCCAAAUAUGCUCGCCGUUUCCAUAGAUGGAAACCGCAAGCAUUACCGUUUUAAGAAUGCUGCUAGGUACUUCAAACUGUGUGUCACAGUGUUCUUACAUAUUAAUAAGAUAACAUGGCUCUUUAUUAUGCACCAAGUAAUCUUAGAUUAUAAGUUAUAGAGUUGUUGAAAAUACUGACUUAUAAAAAUUAUAUAAAAUUAUAAAAAUGUGACUGACGCUUUUAGCGCUGAGCCAUUCUCAGACAUAUCCAAUGAGUGUGUGAACACAGUGGCCAAUGAGAGGUGUUUACGAAUCCGCUCAACAGCGCUCAAAGCAUUACAUUUUUUAAAUUUCAGACUGGUACUGAAGUUGGUACUUAUGACAACUCUAAUAAGUUAUCAUAAACUGUUUUGUACCUUUGUUGUUGUUGUUUUUUAGAUCUGAGGAACAGGCCAUCUUUGAAGGCAUCUUUAUAGCCAAGGAUGAAGAUGUUACAAGAUUUGUGGACCACAUUCACAGCACAACCAAACAUGUUAAAGUGUAUUUGAUGAUAAAUAAAACUACAAUACUACAGUAACCUCUUACUGAA
ensembl:lncRNA